UCCUGGCUCAGGAUGAACGCUAGCUACAGGCUUAACACAUGCAAGUCGAGGGGCAGCAUGGAACUUAGCUUGCUAAGUUUCGAUGGCGACCGGCGCACGGGUGAGUAACACGUAUCCAACCUACCGUUUACUACGGGAUAGCCUUCUGAAAAGGAGAUUAAUACCGUAUGGUAUUCUAAAGUUUCAUGACAUUAGAAUUAAAGGUUUACCGGUAAUCGAUGGGGAUGCGUUCCAUUAGAUAGUAGGCGGGGUAACGGCCCACCUAGUCAGCGAUGGAUAGGGGUUCUGAGAGGAAGGUCCCCCACAUUGGAACUGAGACACGGUCCAAACUCCUACGGGAGGCAGCAGUGAGGAAUAUUGGUCAAUGGGCGCGAGCCUGAACCAGCCAAGUAGCGUGAAGGAUGACUGCCCUAUGGGUUGUAAACUUCUUUUAUAAAGGAAUAAAGUGGUCCACGUGUGGAUUUUUGUAUGUACUUUAUGAAUAAGGAUCGGCUAACUCCGUGCCAGCAGCCGCGGUAAUACGGAGGAUCCAAGCGUUAUCCGGAUUUAUUGGGUUUAAAGGGAGCGUAGAUGGAUGUUUAAGUCAGUUGUGAAAGUUCGGGGCUCAACCCCGGAAUUGCAGUUGAUACUGGAUAUCUUGAGUACAGUUGAGGUAGGCGGAAUUCGUGGUGUAGCGGUGAAAUGCUUAGAUAUCACGAAGAACUCCGAUUGCGAAGGCAGCUUACUAAGCUGUAACUGACAUUGAGGCUCGAAAGUGUGGGUAUCAAACAGGAUUAGAUACCCUGGUAGUCCACACGGUAAACUAUGGAUACUCGCUGUAGGCGAUACACAGUCUGCGGCCAAGCGAAAGCAUUAAGUAUCCCACCUGGGGAGUACGCCGGCAACGGUGAAACUCAAAGGAAUUGACGGGGGC
rnacentral:rRNA from 1 species